GUUCAUCCUAUCAACCAGUUACGUGAAUCUCAUGGCCACAUUGGACAUCUGUACCAGGAGCUUCGCAGGUAUCUAGAGAAGUUCUACAACUUCUUGAGGAUGCCAAGGGAGACGUUUGACAAGCUGCAAGAGAUGCUGAAUCCACAUCUCCAACUACAGGACACCAGACUCCACCAAGCCAUCAAUUCUACUGAACAUCUGUUGAUCACAUUGUGAUUUCUCGCAACUGGGGAGAGUUUUGCAUCGUUGUACCUCCAAUUCCGAGUCGGAAAAUUUACCAUCUCUGGAAUUGUGAGGUCAACAUGCCACGUGAUCUGGCAACACUUGCAGCCCAUUUCUAUGCCCAGUCCAACCCAGGAGACGUGGCUACAGGCAGCAGCAGGCUUUCAGUCUGUAGCCCAAUUCCCAAACUGCAUAGGCACCGUCGACGGGAAGCAUGUACUAGUGCAGCAACCACCGUGAUCAGGAUCACAGUACUUCAAUUACAAGAAGUACUUUUCUGUUGCCCUGAUGACGGUGGCUGAUGUCAAUUACAAGUACAUUGCCAUCGACGUCGGCACCUAUGGUAGUACUGGGGACUUGCAGGUGCUGUUGACAUCAGAAUUUCGCCAGCAAGUGUUGGGAGAUCAGGUGACUCUGCCCCCACCAAGACCUCUUCCGGGUACCCCACAUCCAGUCCCCUUCGUCAUGGUAUGGCUUUUCCUCUAAUGAAUAACCUGCUGCGUCCAUACCCACAGAGGGGACUGAAUGGCCAAAAGACAGUUUUCAACGCAAGGCUGAGCCGGGCAUGAUGCUUCGUGGAGUGCACCUUUGGGAUCAUGAGUAGUAAGUGGAGGAUCUUAACCUGUGCAAUGCAGUUGGAUGAGACCACAGUUGAUGCACUCAUCAAAGCUGCGUGUGACCUCCAUAACUUUGUUCGGGACUAUGAAAGCUUGUACUUAGAAGUGGAGCAACCUGCAGCUUUGAAUGACUCCCCCAUCAACUUUGGCUCAGGGCAGCCAUCCAACAGUGCUGUACUUGUGAGAGAAACCUUCACUGACUAUUUCAUGUCUCCCGAAGGUGCCGUGUCCUGGCAAGUUUAACCAGCCUUGGUGCUUAACAUAUGUCCAGUGAAACUGAUGGCUACAGAUGGAAAGAAGCUUGUCAAGAAUCUCCAUUGGUGUUCUCAUGUCCUUCCAGCAUCCUGGUUUUUGCCCCUCACUACCCUGUGCACUAUGUGCUUGGAUCACAUUGUUAUGUUGGACUUUGCAUUUGUCCACCAUGUGGACUAACUUGUUGAGUUGGGCUGCCCUUGAGCAACCUGUGCCCUACCAAUUUGUAUCCUACUUUUUUUCCUUUCCAGUUGUCAAUCUGGAAUAAGC